UGGGGAAUAUUGCGCAAUGGGCGAAAGCCUGACGCAGCGACGCCGCGUGAGGGAUGAAGGUUUUCGGAUCGCAAACCUCUGUCAGAAGGGAAGAAACCGCACUGUGCUAAUCAGCAGUUCCUUGACGGUACCUUCAAAGGAAGCACCGGCUAACUCCGUUCCAGCAGCCGCGGUAAUACGGAGGGUGCAAGCGUUAAUCGGAAUUACUGGGCGUAAAGCGCACGUAGGCUGCUUUGUAAGUCAGGGGUGAAAUCCCACGGCUCAACCGUGGAACUGCCUUUGAUACUGCUUAGCUUGAAUCCGGGAGAGGGUGGCGGAAUUCCAGGUGUAGGAGUGAAAUCCGUAGAUAUCUGGAGGAACAUCAGUGGCGAAGGCGGCCACCUGGACCGGUAUUGACGCUGAGGUGCGAAAGCGUGGGGAGCAAACAGG
rnacentral:rRNA from 1 species